UACAGAGGGUGCGAGCGUUGUUCGGAAUUAUUGGGCGUAAAGGGCGCGUAGGCGGUGCGGUAAGUCACCUGUGAAAUCUCCUGGCUCAACUGGGAGCUUGCAGGCGAAACUGCCGUGCUGGAGUGUGGGAGAGGUGCGUGGAAUUCCUGGUGUAGCGGUGAAAUGCGUAGAUAUCAGGAGGAACACCUGUGGCGAAAGCGGCGCACUGGACCACACCUGACGCUGAGGCGCGAAAGCUAGGGGAGCAAACAGG
rnacentral:rRNA from 1 species